rnacentral:lncRNA from 1 species
AAUGAGCAGGAUUUUGAAUUUCAUGAUCACAUGCUUCAAUGGAUUCGUUUGGAAGCCUCCAAACUGAGAUUUGGUGUGGUUAUCAGAAGGUCUGGUAAUGGUUCGAAUAAAAGCUGUACUUUUGUGAUAAUGUCGUGCGAAAGAAGUGGGAAAUAUAUACCUCCUCUCCGAAAUUUUAAACGCAACGACAUCGAUUCAAGAAAAUGUGAGUGUCCCUUUAAGGUGUGUGGUUAUAUGUUAGCAAACAAUAAAUGGAGAUUUAAUGUCAUAUGUGGUUUACAU